AGCAUUUGUACUGAUUCUCACAGUUGUAUCACACACAGAUGCUGUUUGCACAGAGGAUCUCCCUUUGUCCUUGUCUACAGUACACAAAAAGGAGAAAAAAAUAGCAGUGAAGCUGGUGUGGACCCGAUGCUUUCCAACAUUGCCUACCUGAUGAUUUGAAUGCAGCAAAAUAGUCUGGAUUCACUUUUCCACUUGCACUGGUCCUUACAAAGCCUGUGGACUCCGACACCUUCAUCCUGGAAGGAGUCACCAUCUGAGAAAACAAAAAACACGCCAAAAUGCCUUUAGUGGCAUUUUUAAUUCUACAUUUAAAUUAGAUUGUUUUUAAAAACCCCAGCAAAGGCUCCAAGUAAAAUAAACAAAUUUGAUUACUAUCAUUUGUCAAUUCUAUUCUAAUUGCAUAAGCACUGAAAUAAAAUUUCACUUUUCCACAGUAUUGAAUGAGGUAUUUUCAUGUACAAAUUAACUUUAAUUUGUCAAUCCUAAACCAUCCACCUAUAACUUAUUUACAUAGACAGAAAAAACAGGUCAUAAAAAGAGUUUAAGAGGUAAAAUGAUCUACUUAACUGUACAAAUACUAAAUCUGUAGACGUAUCUGUUAAUUCUUGCGUACCAUAUGUAUCAUUCAUCUUGAACAUAAAAAAACUGAAAUGACAUUAGUGUCUCUUAAGUCUAUCAAAUAAAAAUAAAAAA